GAUGAAGAACGUAGCGAAAUGCGAUACUUGGUGUGAAUUGCAGAAUCCCGUGAACCAUCGAGUCUUUGAACGCAAGUUGCGCCUCAAGCCAUUAGGUUGAGGGCACGUCUGCCUGGGCGUCACAUAUCGUUGCCUGAUGCCAGUUUCCUCGUGAUGGGUGACUGUGCAGGGCGAAUGAUGGCUUCCCGUGAGCAUUGUUGCCUCAUGGUUGGUUGAAAAUCGAGUGCAUGGUGUCGGGUGUACCAUGAUGGAUGGUGGUUGAGUGAUGAUGCUCGAGACCAAUCAUGGGUAACUCCACCAGAAUUGGGCUCGGUGACCCACAUGCGUCCCUUGGAUGCUCCCUAAGGAGACCUCAGGUCAGGCGGGGCUACCCGCUGAGUUUAAGCAUAUCAAAAGCGGAGGA
rnacentral:misc_RNA from 1 species